CGAGCGAGAAGACGUAGCAAUACGUUUGUAAAGCGGCGAACGGGUGAGGAAUACAUGGGUAACCUACCCUAGAGUGGGGAAUAACUAGCCGAAAGGUUAGCUAAUACCGCGUACGCUCCCUGGACUUCGGUUCAGGGGGGAAAGCGCUACCGAGGGUAGCGCGCUCUUGGAUGGGCUCAUGUCCUAUCAGCUUGUUGGUGAGGUAACGGCUCACCAAGGCUUCGACGGGUAGCUGGUCUGAGAGGACGAUCAGCCACACUGGCACUGCGACACGGGCCAGACUCCUACGGGAGGCAGCAGUAAGGAAUAUUGCGCAAUGGGCGAAAGCCUGACGCAGCGACGCCGCGUGGGGGAUGAAGGUCUUCGGAUUGUAAACCCCUUUCGGGAGGGAAGAUGGAGUGGGGUAACCCACUCGGACGGUACCUCCAGAAGCAGCCACGGCUAACUUCGUGCCAGCAGCCGCGGUAAUACGAAGGUGGCAAGCGUUAUUCGGAUUUACUGGGCGUACAGGGAGCGUAGGCGGUUCGGUAAGCCCUCUGUGAAAUCUUCAGGCUUAACCUGGAAAAGUCGGAGGGGACUGCCGGGCUAGAGGACGGGAGAGGAGCGCGGAAUUCCCGGUGUAGCGGUGAAAUGCGUAGAGAUCGGGAGGAAGGCCGGUGGCGAAGGCGGCGCUCUGGAACGUUUCUGACGCUGAGGCUCG
rnacentral:rRNA from 1 species